UUGCUUCGGCAGCAGAUAUACUAAAAUUGGAAAGAUACGGAGAAGACUAGCAUGGUCCCUGUGCAAGGAUGAUGUGUACAUUUGUGAAGCACUCCAUGUUUUU